rnacentral:rRNA from 1 species
UAUGAACCGUUAUAACCGGCGAUACCCGAAUGGGGAAACCCAGUGUGAUUCGUCACACUAUCAUUAACUGAAUCCAUAGGUUAAUGAGGCGAACCGGGGGAACUGAAACAUCUAAGUACCCCGAGGAAAAGAAAUCAACCGAGAUUCCCCCAGUAGCGGCGAGCGAACGGGGAGGAGCCCAGAGCCUGAAUCAGCAUGUGUGUUAGUGGAAGCGUCUGGAAAGGCGCGCGAUACAGGGUGACAGCCCCGUACACAAAAGCGCAUGUGCUGUGAGCUCGAUGAGUAGGGCGGGACACGUGGUAUCCUGUCUGAAUAUGGGGGGACCAUCCUCCAAGGCUAAAUACUCCUGACUGACCGAUAGUGAACCAGUACCGUGAGGGAAAGGCGAAAAGAACCCCGG